UACGUAGGGGGCAAGCGUUGUCCGGAAUCAUUGGGCGUAAAGAGCGUGUAGGCGGCUCGGUAAGUCCGCUGUAAAAGUCAAAGGCUCAACCUUUGAAUGUCAGUGGAUACUGCCGGGCUAGAGUCCGGAAGAGGCGAGUGGAACUCCUGGUGUAGCGGUGGAAUGCGCAGAUAUCAGGAAGAACACCAGUGGCGAAGGCGGCUCACUGGCCCGAUACUGACGCUGAGGCACGAAAGCGUGGGGAGCAAACAGG
rnacentral:rRNA from 1 species